rnacentral:lncRNA from 1 species
GCUAUCAAAGUUAGGUCCGAUAAUAUUAUCAUUGUCUAACAAUGAAUAGAGUGACAAUAUUCUAGUUAUUUCUGAAAAGAGAACAAUUGACCUAUUAGUAUAUGAACUAUUUUAAGCCUAAAGAUUUAGACUUUAGUCUAAAGGUUCUCUCACUAUUUUAUAUGAAUUGGUAGUCUCUACCUCUAAUCUAAAAAAUUACUUUAAUUCCUUAGUAGGUACUAAAAUUCACAUGGACUGCAUUCAGGCCCGAGUGUGGCUCGACCAACCCUAAUGC